AUGCAACAAGUUCUGCCAUCACCACCUCACGAGGAAGAACACAAGCAGCAGGUUGCCCCCGAGGUUAUUGUUCCUGUGCCCACAGCUCAAGACGAGAAAAAUGAUUUGGUUGAUAUCUUUCUCGACAACCCUGAUGAAGAAAAUGCACCACCUCAGCAGCAAGACAAUAAUGACCACACUUAUGAGGACAUUGAAGUUGAAAAGCCAAAUCCUUCACCUCCUGUGUCGAUGCAAGUUGAACCUUUAGCCUUCAGCAAGAAUGAUGAGAAGAUUGAGGGGGGGAGCAAUCUGCUCCUCAAGAGAAAACUACCCCAGUUACACCCUCGAUUACUCCCACACCGAUGGAUGCUGACUGUGCUCCUCAUUCCAUAG
rnacentral:rRNA from 1 species